rnacentral:tRNA from 1 species
CGGGAUGUAGCGCAGUCUGGUAGCGUACUCGGCUGGGGGUCGAGUGGUCGGAGGUUCGAAUCCUCUCAUCCCGACCA